GCGCACCCAGAAACCCUUUGUGAACUUAUACCUUACUGUUGCCUCGGCGCAUGCCGGCCCCCCUGGGGGCCCCUCCUUCUGGAGGAGCAGGCACGCCGGCGGCCAACCCAACUCUUGUUUUUACACUGAAACUCUGAGAAUAAAACAUAAAUGAAUCAAAACUUUCAACAACGGAUCUCUUGGUUCUGGCAUCGAUGAAGAACGCAGCGAAAUGCGAUAAGUAAUGUGAAUUGCAGAAUUCAGUGAAUCAUCGAAUCUUUGAACGCACAUUGCGCCCUCUGGUAUUCCGGAGGGCAUGCCUGUUCGAGCGUCAUUUCAACCCUCAAGCCUGGCUUGGUGAUGGGGCACUGCCUGUAAAAGGGCAGGCCCUGAAAUUCAGUGGCGAGCUCGCCAGGACCCCGAGCGCAGUAGUUAAACCCUCGCUCUGGAAGGCCCUGGCGGUGCCCUGCCGUUAAACCCCCAACUUCUGAAAAUUUGACCUCGGAUCAGGUAGGAAUACCCGCUGAACUUAAGCAUA
rnacentral:rRNA from 1 species